UGCCUGCUAAAUAUCUAAAAUGUUAAUGCAUGUCAGAACAAAAAAGAGUUUGCUAUUCUGCUAUUGGGGUACUGUACAAUUUUUUUUUCAUAAAAUCAUGCUUCAGGCCUGUAGAUUUAAAAGUUUAUUGUAAAUAAACUGUACACUAGUAGUACUAUUAGAAGAGAUUGAUAUUAAUCCUGAUAAUGACUUUUUCAGGUCACUGUCAGGACUAAUGUUCCUCCCUGUAACCAGCAAUGUACAUGUAUGUGUUAAAAUGUUAGUUUUAU
rnacentral:lncRNA from 1 species